rnacentral:rRNA from 1 species
CUUGACAUCCGGAGAAUUUAGCAGAGAUGCUUUAGUGCCUUCGGGAACUCUGAGACAGGUGCUGCAUGGCUGUCGUCAGCUCGUGUUGUGAAAUGUUGGGUUAAGUCCCGCAACGAGCGCAACCCUUAUCCUUUGUUGCCAGCACGUAAUGGUGGGAACUCAAAGGAGACUGCCGGUGAUAAACCGGAGGAAGGUGGGGAUGACGUCAAGUCAUCAUGGCCCUUACGAGUAGGGCUACACACGUGCUACAAUGGCGCAUACAAAGAGAAGCGACCUCGCGAGAGCAAGCGGACCUCAUAAAGUGCGUCGUAGUCCGGAUUGGAGUCUGCAACUCGACUCCAUGAAGUCGGAAUCGCUAGUAAUCGUAAAUCAGAAUGUUACGGUGAAUACGUUCCCGGGCCUUGUACACACCGCCCGUCACACCAUGGGAGUGGGUUGCAAAAGAAGUAGAUAGCUUAACCUUCGGGAGGGCGUUUACCACUUUGUGAUUCAUGACUGGGGUGAAGUCGUAACAAGGUAGGCGUAGUGCU